rnacentral:rRNA from 1 species
CCUACGAUAGGCAGCAGUGAGGAAUAUUGGUCAAUGCACGCAAGUCUGAACCAGCCAUGCCGCGUGCAGGAAGACGGCUCUAUGAGUUGUAAACUGCUUUUGUACGAGGGUAAAUCCCGAUACGUGUAUCGGGUUGAAAGUAUCGUACGAAUAAGGAUCGGCUAACUCCGUGCCAGCCGCCGCGGUAAUACGGAGAAUUCAAGCGUUAUCCGGAUUUCUUGGGUGUAACGGGUGCGUCGGCGGUGCGAUAAGUUAGAGGUGAAAUCCCGGGGCUCAACUCCGGCACUGCCCCUGAUACUGUUGGGCUAGAGUGUAGUUGCGGUAGGCGGAAUGUAUGGUGUAGCGGUGAAAUGCAUAGAGAUCAUACAGAACACCGAUUGCGAAGGCAGCUUACCAAACUACGACUGACGUCGAGGCACGAAAGCGUGGGGAGCAAACAGGAUUAGAUACCCCGGUAGUC